rnacentral:rRNA from 1 species
UACGGAGGGUGCGAGCGUUGUCCGGAUUUAUUGGGUUUAAAGGGUGCGUAGGCGGCCGUAUAAGUCAGGGGUGAAAGUCUUCUGCUCAACAGAAGAACUGCCUUUGAUACUGUAUGGCUUGAGUGCCGUCUGGGUACAUGGAAUUUAUGGUGUAGCGGUGAAAUGCAUAGAUACCAUAAGGAACACCGAUAGCGAAGGCAUUGUACUGGGCGGCAACUGACGCUGAGGCACGAAAGCGUGGGUAGCGAACAGGAUUAGAUACCCUGGUAGUCCACGCCGUAAACGAUGAUCACUCGCUGUUAUGCUGUUAUGGUGUAGCGGCUUAGCGAAAGCGUUAAGUGAUCCACCUGGGGAGUACGCCGGCAACGGUGAA